GAUGAACGCUGGCGGCGUGCCUAAUACAUGCAAGUCGAGCGAACAGACGAGGAGCUUGCUCCUCUGACGUUAGCGGCGGACGGGUGAGUAACACGUGGAUAACCUACCUAUAAGACUGGGAUAACCUCGGGAAACCGGAGCUAAUACCGGAUAAUAUAUUGAACCGCAGGGUUCAAUAGUGAAAGACGGUUGUGCUGUCUCGUAUAGAUGGAUCCGCGCCGCAUUAGCUAGUUGGUAAGGUAACGGCUUACCAAGGGAACGAUGCGUAGCCGACCUGAGAGGGUGAUCGGCCACACUGGAACUGAGACACGGUCCAGACUCCUACGGGAGGCCGCAGUAGGGAAUCUUCCGCAAUGGGCGAAAGCAUGACGGAGCAACGCCGCGUGAGUGAUGAAAGUCUUCGGAUCGUAAAACUCUGUUAUUAGGGAAGAACAAAUGUGUAAGUAACUAUGCACGUCUUGACGGUACCUAAUCAGAAAGCCACGGCUAACUACGUG
rnacentral:rRNA from 1 species